rnacentral:lncRNA from 1 species
UAUCUUUAAUGUUUCCAAGCACCGAUAAUUUUUUAUUUGGUGUUUCUAUAGAAUAUUUUGGAAACUUGAGGUUACAUUGUUCCUAAAGCACAGCGAAAAAAUAGGUGAAUAUUUGAUUGGUUAAUUACCAGUGAUGGUUAUUUUCUGAUAUGCAAUGACAUGUUAUGUGAAAUUUUGUCUAUAAUACUGGACAGUAUACAAC